rnacentral:rRNA from 1 species
CGGGGUGAGUAAUGCUUGGGAAUCUAGCUUAUGGAGGGGGAUAACUACGGGAAACUGUAGCUAAUACCGCGUAGAAUCGGGAGAUGAAAGUGUGGGACCUUCGGGCCACAUGCCAUAGGAUGAGCCCAAGUGGGAUUAGGUAGUUGGUGAGGUAAAGGCUCACCAAGCCGACGAUCUCUAGCUGGUCUGAGAGGAUGACCAGCCACACUGGGACUGAGACACGGCCCAG